rnacentral:rRNA from 1 species
GCGUUAACGAACGAGACCUCGUCCUGCUAAAUAGUCGGCGCUAUGCUCGUCAUAGUGUUUCCGUUCUUACUUCUUAGAGGGACUAUCGGUGUCAUUUUUAGCCGAUGGAAGUUCGAGGCAAUAACAGGUCUGUGAUGCCCUUAGAUGUUCUGGGCCGCACGCGCGAUACACUGACAUGUUCAUCGAGUCUAUAACCUUGACUGAGAGGUCCGGGUAAUCUUUGAAAUCAUGUCGUGCUGGGGAUAGAUCAUUGUAAUUAUUGAUCUUCAACGAGGAAUUUCUAGUAAACGCGAGUCAUCAACUCGCAUUGAUUACGUCCCUGCCCUUUGUACACACCGCCCGUCGCUAUUACCGAUUGAAUGGGU